CCCACUCACCCAAUCCUGGCCGCCGCGCCCCUUUCUCUCCUCCAAUCCCCACGUUCCUCUCUCCCCCAAUCCCCUCAACACCUUCUCCAUUCUCUGGUUUUCUCCAUGGCUGUACCAGUGGGAGGUGAAGAGAAGUAGGGUGGCAUGGCUGAUGAGGCAGAGAUCAACAUGGAGAAGCACCUGCUACCUAUCUCCCUUUACUCCCUGCCAUGCCCUAGCUGGUACUUCCCCCACAGCAAGGCCCAUUUCUUAUCUUGGUAUUGGAGGAAGAAGAAGAAUAGGUGGCAACAAGAGGAGCAGAAAGAGGAGAAGGGAGAAGAGAAGAUCCACACCUUUCCUUUUCGAUUCUUCUUGAUCCAGAACCAAAGGUAACUUGCCGCAGCAGAGACGUUGUCGGGGUGAAGUUAUCGAGAAAGGUGUGAAGUCAUGUUGCAGCCAUGGAUUCACCAUCACAGGUGUCCCAGCAGUGCGUCGGUGAUGAUGUCUUCGCCAUCAUUGCACGACCUAUAGGCCGUUUGGGUUUCAGCCUACCAUAUUGUGUGAAUCCAAGCACCACCAAGGCAGUAAGCUACACACCACGCAUGUGCUUGUGGAAAAUUCAGUAAUUGCAGAAAAACUAAGAAUUAUGUCCUACAAUGAUCUAUGUACCAACGUAUACCAAGAUGGUUCUCACUGCCCCGGUACAAUAAGGCAGGCUGUGUACAUAGUAUUGCAGUAGUCGGCAGCGACUCAGAUCCGCCGUGGCGAGUCAAUAGCUCCAACUCAUACCACACAAGUUGGAGAGCAUGCCUACUACGUCACCGGCUUCUCGACAUUGGUCGUCAUGGACAACCAAAUCGAGAGGCAGGAGGGCAGUGGAAUCGUCAGCGUCGCUCCAUGAAGGAGGAGUAGUGUGGGCUCCAAAAGGAGAUGCAGAGUUGAGGGCCUUUGAUGUGCUGCCACUACCAAAGUUGUCUCGCUACCGUGCCCAUUGACAGUUCCCAUAAAGCAAAAAGAUCGGCAGCGCAAGUGCGCUCUUCGGUGCCCCGCUGAGCGACAAGGUUUCCCAGGGUGUUAGCUAGCUCAUUCCGGACAAGCGCCGGGACAUGAGGGUGAGUACAUCCACGAGUUAUAAGCUUUCAGCAAUAACAACUGAGUGGUCCAUUUGUUUCAGUUGGAGUUAAAGGAGUUACAGGGCACAUUGCUUGGAGAUACUCCACUGGAACUCUCUCCACAAAUUGGUGUGCAAAUAAAACUUCAAUUGGAUCACAAAAGAGUAUACGACCCACUAAGAGUAACAGCAAAGUUACUACUAGCCGAGUACCAGCAAGGAAUAGCCCAGGCAAGUUUCCUCUAGAGUUGCUUAGCCAAAGACCUGUCUCUGAUCUAUGGUCUGAUAAUGGAGGUUUUCUUUGGAGGUUUUUUUUUUCAUUUACUGGAAGUACAGGGAAUCCGGUACUAUGGUAUUCAGGCAAUUUACCUAAAACUGGUCGUGCACAAAUUCCAAAGGUUUCGAGUAUUACCGAUAAACUUCAUAUGUCUGUGACCUCUCGAACACGUACGACUGUGUGAAGCCCCAUAUCCAGAUGUUGAAGGCUGGACAUGUCAAGUCAGACUUGGUAAAUCUGAAGAAAUACCUCCAGCAAAGAGAUUGACAAGAAAAAUUGGUCAGCUAAAGGACUAUAGAGUGAAAACUGGUCAGCUGCAAAGAGGCCUAUAGGCUACAGAGUUGAAACCAGGUUCGUGCUUCAGUGCCACCCAAACCGAGUGUUUGGGGGCUCUCAUUUCCCUUCCCCGUCUUCUCUCUCAUCUCGUUCUUUGAGAGUCACCUGUGCAUCCCCGGCGCCUCUCUCCUCCUCCUCCGGCGGCUCUGCCGGCUGGAGUGGGGUUGAGAGGGGCGGCCGGUGCUCCCCUGUAUAUUAUAAUCUAGGUAGUUUCUUGAGUUUGGCGUUAUGCCAGGUUGGCGCUAUGCCGUGGUGCUGGUCUCAGCUGCAAGCAAGCAGUAGACUGGGACGACCGGCGUGCUUCUCAGUCGGAGCUCCAUGGUGGAGGGUGGCAGAGGUGCUUCGAUCCGGUGUCAGCAUCGACAAUAAGCUUGUGGCGUUACCGUUCCCCUUUGCUCCUGUCAGAUCUGCUCAUCGUGGAGGUGAGCAGAGGGUGGGGGCUGUGGGAUCUGGUGGCGUCGGAGAUGUUCUUGAAGCUUCGACUCGUGGAGUUCCCAAACGAUGGCGAUUGCGCGCCGCCGUUAUCUUCGGCCGACGGUGCCACUCCAUGCCUCGGUGCUCUAUGCUCCGAGGGUUUCUCGUCCUCCAGGCCGGCGUGCCUCUGCGGAGGAUCUUCAGCUUUAGCGCGGCGCACCUUGUUGGCCUUACGCCAAGUGGUUUCGUCCCCGGCGGUGAGGUCAAUGGCCGAUGCUUUGAAGCUUUGCAGCCGCGAUGGUGGAGAAGGGCCCGAUUGCUUUUCAGAUUUUUAUGCGAGGGCCUUUUUGCUUAUGUCGAGGACUAUGUUGUACUCUCUGUUGUAUGUAGGGUCCUCUCUGUAAACUCUUUCCCACCGAUAUAAUUGAAGCUUCUGGGUCCUUUGGACCCAUCUCCUUGUUCAAAAAAAAAAAACCGAGUGUUUUAACAUGUUCAUGUUCCUUCUGGUUGUGACCUCCCAGCUUGUGUUUCAUGUGUUAUUGUGGCCAUUGGUCAACAUUAGAUCAAUAAUUUCCGGCUGAUGUGAUUGUGAUGCUACACAUAAUCAAAAUUCUGAUAUGAACCUAUUGGAAUAUUACUUUUA